UGGACUCAAAGAAGAAAAAGAAUAAUCCCAUAAUGAAGAUUGGACACAAGAAGGAAUGGUACUGUACAGUUUGCUGGGGAUGCAGCAAAGAACUCCACACUGUAACUUCCCUAAAACAGCUUACAACCCACUGGUGUGUGGAGGAAGGAGGUGGCAGGUAAUGAAAACACAGUGAGAAUGUGGAUGUGAUGACCAGAGCUCCAGAAGUCCUCUUGGAUCCUGAGGCAACCUAAAAGAGAGAGAGCAGAACGCCUGAAGGGUCCUAGACUUGUAAUGACUGUGGAACCACCAGACCAACUUUGGCUUGUCAACUCUUGUAUGUGAGAAAGAAAUAAGACUGAAUUUCUGUUAGUAACAUCAGAAUGUACUUUCUAAUGGAUACAUUGAAUAGUCAGAGCAUGAGGUUUUUAGAUCAUUUUUCAUUACCUUUUCCACUUUCUGUAUGAUGAUAAAUGGCACUGCUUAUAGGGCUCCAUAGAUUGCCUUCCACUGCUUUCUGAAAUUUUUAUUUGUUAGGAUUAUGUUCUUUUAAUUUUGUCUCAAAUUCUAACAGGAAUUUAUAGUGGGAAGAAUUUGUUGUUGUUAAUACCUUCAAGUCGAUUCUGACUCCUAGCAACCUGGCGUAGAGCAGAGCAGAACCCUGCCUGGUCUUUUUGCGCCAUCUUCUCACCUUCCAGCACUGACUGUAUCAGACAACCCUUCCCUGCUAUUCAUAGGGUUUUCAUGGCCCAUUUUUUCGGAAUGGAUGGCCAGGUCCUUCUUCCUAGUUUGUGUUAGUCUGUAAGCUACACUGAAACCCAUCCGCCAUGAGUGACCUUGCUGGUGUUUGAAAU
rnacentral:lncRNA from 1 species